GCCCGGAUGGUGAAAUUGGUAGACACAAGGGACUUAAAAUCCCUCGCCAGCGAUGGCGUACCGGUUCGACCCCGGUUCCGGGCACCA
rnacentral:tRNA from 1 species